GGGGAUUUAGCUCAGCGGUAGAGUGCUUGUCUAGCAAGCACAAGGCCCUGGGUUCGGUCCCCAGCUCCG
rnacentral:tRNA from 1 species